rnacentral:rRNA from 1 species
UACGUAGGGGGCUAGCGUUGUUCGGAAUUACUGGGCGUAAAGGGCGCGUAGGCGGUGUGUCAAGUCAGGCGUGAAAGCCCCGGGCUCAACCUGGGAACAGCGCUUGAGACUGGCACGCUCGAGUUCGGGAGAGGAUGGUGGAAGUCCCAGUGUAGAGGUGAAAUUCGUAGAUAUUGGGAAGAACACCGAUGGCGAAGGCAGCCAUCUGGACCGACACUGACGCUGAGGCGCGAAAGCGUGGGGAGCAAACAGG